AUUGUAGCAAUGAACAAGAAGAGUAAAUCUUGCGCGGUUUUCACAGAGAGUUUCCGUUGGUGGGAAGGAAACAAAGCCCGGGAUUGAAAGUUCGCUUGGGAGCUUUUCGGAGGAAAUGCCGGACGUAGGACUGCGUUAAAGUCAUUGAGUGAGAAAUCAGGGUGGUACCGCGAAAUUCAGCCUUCGCCCCUCGU
rnacentral:ncRNA from 1 species